rnacentral:misc_RNA from 1 species
UGAAAUGCGAAAACUAAUGCGAUUUGCAUGAACCUGUGAGUCAUCUAGUCUUUGAACGCACCUUGCACCCUCCCCAAGAGGGUACACCUGUUUGAGAAUCGAAACCAUUUUGGCUCUAGUUCGAGUCAGAUUUUGAGGGUAUACUUGAUAUUCCCUUUAAAUGCAGUAGGCUUGGGUAACUGGGCAUUGUGUGAUGGAGACAGUUAGUCUACUCACAAUGGCCCUAUUAUUCAACAGUCUUAUCUAUAUUCACCAACAUGAUCUCAAAUCAGGUGGGGCUACCCGCUGAACUUAA